GGGGUUGUACUGGUUUCGACGGGGGUUUUGAAGUUAGAGUAGCCAUCCGUGGUCCGGAUCCACGUUAAAAGUCGGAUUUAAAUAUAAACGCUAACAACGAAUUAGCAUACGCUGCCUAAUGGCAGCUGUCAGCCUUAAGUCACCUGCUGCUUAAGAAUCUGGCAUCGACUUUGCAGGGCACCUUACCGCCUAAGCUUUGCGGUGGUAAGAGAUUUAUGAAGCUACUGAAUCUGACAGCCUGUUGUUCGGCAGUCGGAUGAGGGAAUGAAUGUAGAGCAACUGUGAUGGGAGAAGCUUUAAUGAAUGGGCUUUCGGACAGGGGUUCGAUUCCCCUCAGCUCCACUU
rfam:Clostridiales bacterium KLE1615 genomic scaffold Scaffold658, whole genome shotgun sequence.